CUACACUGAUUCCUUAGCUCUGGAAAAAAAACUGAAAAGUUAAACGGUUGAGAGUUUGGCGGGAAGCAACAGAAGGCCUGCAGAAAGUUACUACCUACACGGCAGCAUUCAGCAUUACUCGACUUACUUUUCAGAUCAGUUUAUGCCCUUUCAUCUCCCUGUUUCCAGUUUCAUGAAGUUAAGACAGUUAAGGAAGACAACUGGAGAUGUGAUAAAGAUACCAGGUAAUCCAAUGAAUGUGAAUUCCUCUAUCAACCACCCCUCUUUCAUUUAAGACAUUUCAUUCAAGAUUUGUCUUAAAAAAAUGUUAAAAACUCUGUUCUGGUUUCAGCUCUACCAGAGGUUGCUCAAGUACACAUUAGAGAACAAACAACUAGUGACACAAUCUACAAGACAACAAAUGUGACCAUUGAUGGCACAGACUAUGUCUGUGGAAUGUUUCUGUCUGUAGGAGUCAGUGGUGGACUGUCGACAUUUGGCAAAAUAGAAGAGAUCUUUCUUGUGAAUCACAACGUAUCUUUUCUGUGUUGUGAUUAUGACUCCUGGUAUGUAGAACAUCUACGGUCCUAUGAGCUGUCAACUGCAGACAUAAGCCUGUCGAUCCACCUGCAGUCUGGUCUGAAUGAUACAGUCCCUCUCUGCAUACAAGAUAGACGGCUCGCUGCUGCUGACCCCCAAGCGGUUCAUUCAAGUGAGACAGAACUGAGUUCAGCACAAUGGCAGCUGCAUCCCCACAACCAAUGAUUCUUCGUGUUGUUGAGCC
rnacentral:lncRNA from 1 species